AUGCUCACUUCAGCAGCACAUAUACUAAAAUAGGAAUGAUACAGAAAUUAGCCUGGUCCCUGCCCAGGGAAGACAUGCAAAUUCAUGAACCAUUCCAUAUUUUC
ensembl:snRNA U6 U6 spliceosomal RNA